GACGAACGCUGGCGGCGCGCCUAACACAUGCAAGUCGAACGAGCAAGAGAGAGCUUGCUUUCUCGAGCGAGUGGCGAACGGGUGAGUAACGCGUGAGGAACCUGCCUCAAAGAGGGGGACAACAGUUGGAAACGACUGCUAAUACCGCAUAAGCCCACGGUGCCGCAUGGCACAGAGGGAAAAGGAGCAAUCCGCUUUGAGAUGGCCUCGCGUCCGAUUAGCUAGUUGGUGAGGUAACGGCCCACCAAGGCAACGAUCGGUAGCCGGACUGAGAGGUUGAACGGCCACAUUGGGACUGAGACACGGCCCAGACUCCUACGGGAGGCAGCAGUGGGGAAUAUUGCACAAUGGGGGAAACCCUGACGCAGCGACGCCGCGUGGAGGAAGAAGGUCUUCGGAUUGUAAACUCCUGUUGUUGGGGAAGAUAAUGACGGUACCCAACAAGGAAGUGACGGCUAACUACGUGCCAGCAGCCGCGGUAAAACGUAGGUCACAAGCGUUGUCCGGAAUUACUGGGUGUAAAGGGAGCGCAGGCGGGAAGACAAGUUGGAAGUGAAAUCUAUGGGCUCAACCCAUAAACUGCUUUCAAAACUGUUUUUCUUGAGUAGUGCAGAGGUAGGCGGAAUUCCCGGUGUAGCGGUGGAAUGCGUAGAUAUCGGGAGGAACACCAGUGGCGAAGGCGGCCUACUGGGCACCAACUGACGCUGAGGCUCGAAAGUGUGGGUAGCAAACAGGAUUAGAUACCCUGGUAGUCCACACCGUAAACGAUGAUUACUAGGUGUUGGAGGAUUGACCCCUUCAGUGCCGCAGUUAACACAAUAAGUAAUCCACCUGGGGAGUACGACCGCAAGGUUGAAACUCAAAGGAAUUGACGGGGGCCCGCACAAGCAGUGGAGUAUGUGGUUUAAUUCGACGCAACGCGAAGAACCUUACCAAGUCUUGACAUCCCUUGACAGGCAUAGAAAUAUGUUUUCUCUUCGGAGCAAGGAGACAGGUGGUGCAUGGUUGUCGUCAGCUCGUGUCGUGAGAUGUUGGGUUAAGUCCCGCAACGAGCGCAACCCUUAUGGUCAGUUACUACGCAAGAGGACUCUGGCCAGACUGCCGUUGACAAAACGGAGGAAGGUGGGGAUGACGUCAAAUCAUCAUGCCCUUUAUGACUUGGGCUACACACGUACUACAAUGGCGUUAAACAAAGAGAAGCAAGACCGCGAGGUGGAGCAAAACUCAGAAACAACGUCCCAGUUCGGACUGCAGGCUGCAACUCGCCUGCACGAAGUCGGAAUUGCUAGUAAUCGUGGAUCAGCAUGCCACGGUGAAUACGUUCCCGGGCCUUGCAC
rnacentral:rRNA from 1 species